UACGGAGGGUGCAAGCGUUUAUCCGGAUUUACUGGGUUUAAAGGGUGCGUAGGUGGGUCUGUAAGUCAGUGGUGAAAUCUUCGAGCUUAACUCGGAAACUGCCAUUGAUACUAUAGGUCUUGAAUCAUCUGGAGGUGAGCGGAAUAUGUCAUGUAGCGGUGAAAUGCUUAGAUAUGACAUAGAACACCGAUUGCGAAGGCAGCUCACUACGGAUGUAUUGACACUGAGGCACGAAAGCGUGGGGAUCAAACAGG
rnacentral:rRNA from 1 species